AUUCAGAGUUAACGUUUUGGUUCAAAUCCAAUUUCUAAGUGCAUCUGGCGGAGGAACAAGUGAUGUUUGAUAAAUUUGAACUUCACCGAUCCUAGCACUUGAACUUCUAUAGGUUGAAGGUUAGAUAACGUUCCGGUGAAAUUAUUUCUUUUUGGUUCUAUGGGAUUUAUGCUUUUGACUUAAUGUUGGGAGAAGAAAUGGCCAUAAUAAAACAGGCCCGAGGCAACCGUAAUUUUUUUUUCAUGCUUUUUUGUUUUCCUGGGAAAUUAACCAACUGUAUGAACGAAGUGAUGUUUAGUCUGUUGUGUUACUAAAUAUCGUGCUUUAGCUGUACAGUUCCGAGACUAUUUUGAUGAAAUUUCAUACAUCCAGUUUGUUUAAAACCUGGAUUCAUGUCUCAGUACACUAAAAUCAAUCAAUCAACACCACCAUUAAAUAUACUCUUGUAUAAAGUAGAUAUUUAUCAUCAGUGAGAUAAAUAUAAUUACAUUUUGACGUGG